GCCAAUGCCUGAUGAUAUCAAUUGAAACAAGCAUAGUUCACACUGAAACUACCGUGUUGACAAACAUGCAUCUAAACGUCUUUCGCUCCUAUCUGAUCAAUAUC
rnacentral:snoRNA from 1 species